GGGUAUAGUUCAGUGGUAGAGUGCAUGCUUAGCAUGCAUGAGGCCCUAGGUUCAAUUCUCCAGUACCACCA
rnacentral:tRNA from 1 species